AGACGGACUGUCUACCGAUCCAUC
rnacentral:siRNA from 1 species